rnacentral:tRNA from 1 species
GUGGUGGCUCAGUGGUACAGCACUUGCCUGGCAUGUGUGAGGCCCUGGGUUAGAUCCUCAGCACCACA